GACGAACGCUGGCGGCGUGCUUAACACAUGCAAGUCGAACGAUGAAGCUGGAGCUUGCUCCGGUGGAUUAGUGGCGAACGGGUGAGUAACACGUGAGCAAUCUGCCCUUGACUCUGGGAUAACUGCGGGAAACUGUAGCUAAUACCGGAUACUUUCACUGGAAGGCAUCUUCUGGUGAAGAAAGAAUUUCGGUCAAGGAUGAGCUCGCGGCCUAUCAGCUUGUUGGUGAGGUAACGGCUCACCAAGGCGACGACGGGUAGCCGGCCUGAGAGGGUGACCGGCCACACUGGGACUGAGACACGGCCCAGACUCCUACGGGAGGCAGCAGUGGGGAAUAUUGCACAAUGGGCGCAAGCCUGAUGCAGCAACGCCGCGUGAGGGAUGAAGGACUUCGGGUUGUAAACCUCUUUUAGCAGGGAAGAAGCGAAAGUGACGGUACCUGCAGAAAAAGCACCGGCUAAUUACGUGCCAGCCGCCGCAGUAA
rnacentral:rRNA from 1 species